CACACAUCAUAAGCAAUAAACACGAUCUUCUUUUGAUGAAUAACACAGCCAAAAAAAAUGUGCGAGCCAUUCAUAUCUCAACGAUUUCUUAGUUCCUCGCCUAAAGAAGGUAAAAUGUAAUUUUCAACCGGUUUGAAAGCAUGUUCUUCUUGGACAAAAGAGAGAGUUGAAUAUAGAUUCAAGCCUGCUGUCCACAAUCAGGAAAGUAAGUGAAGUUUUAGUCUUCAACACAGAAGAAAUGGCUAAAAUGCAAAGACAAGAUCAACACUUACAAAACCAGAAUCUGGAUAGUCUCGUGAUAGUCUCGUCAAAGCAAAACCAAACGUGAUAAUUAGUUGUUCAAAUCCUCUGGUUGUAAAUAAAGGUGAUAAUGUGUCAGGUGUAUGUAGAGGUGAAGGAGGUAGCCCUCCUGCUAAUGUCACAUGGUUUGAUAAAGAUAACAACAUAAUUGGUGAUGUUGGAGUUGUAAGUAAGACAUUAGUAAUCACUAAUGUUACAGUGAAUGAUGGUGGAAAUUACACAUGUAAAGCACAAAGUUAUAAUGAUCCACGUUUUAGAGAUGAAAAAUCUAUUGAA